rnacentral:rRNA from 1 species
AUUGAACGCUGGCGGCAGGCCUAACACAUGCAAGUCGAGCGGAGCGGCGGGCGGGUGAGUAAUGCCUAGGAAUCUGCGUGGUAGUGGGGGGGAACGUCCGGGAACGCGGGCUAAUACCGCAUACUCUCAGAUGAGCCUCGGUCGGAUUAGCUAGUUGGGGGGGUAAAGGCCUACCAAGGCGACGAUCCGUAACUGGUCUGAGAGGAUGAUCAGCCACACUGGAACUGAGAAACGGUCCAGACUCCUACGGGAGGCAGCAGUGGGGAAUAUUGGACAAUGGGCGAAAGCCUGAUCCAGCCAUGCCGCGUGUGUGAAGAAGGUCUUCGGAUUGUAAAGCACUUUAAGUUGGGAGGCGUUACCAACAGAAUAAGCACCGGCUAACUUCGUGCCAGCAGCCGCGGUAAUAC